rnacentral:rRNA from 1 species
UACAGAGGGUGCGAGCGUUAAUCGGAAUUACUGGGCGUAAAGCGUGCGUAGACGGUUCUGUAAGUCGGAUGUGAAAUCCCCGGGCUCAACCUGGGAAUUGCAUUCGAGACUGCAAAGCUUGGGUGCGGAAGAGGGAAGCGGAAUUUCCGGUGUAGCGGUGAAAUGCGUGGAUAUCGGAAGGAACAUCAGUGGCGAAAGCGGCUUCCUGGUCCAGCACCGACGUUCAGGCACGAAAGCGUGGGGAGCAAACAGG